UACGUAGGGGGCUAGCGUUGUCCGGAUUUAUUGGGCGUAAAGAGCGUGUAGGCGGCCAGGUAGGUCUGCUGUGAAAACUCGAGGCUUAACCUCGAGAUGUCGGCGGAAACCAUCUGGCUAGAGUCCGGAAGAGGAGAGUGGAAUUCCUGGUGUAGCGGUGAAAUGCGCAGAUAUCAGGAAGAACACCCGUGGCGAAGGCGGCUCUCUGGGACGGUGCUGACGCUGAGACGCGAAAGCGUGGGGAGCGAACAGG
rnacentral:rRNA from 1 species